rnacentral:rRNA from 1 species
GACGAACGCUGGCGGCAUGCCUAACACAUGCAAGUCGAGCGGUAAGGCCCUUCGGGGUACACGAGUGGCGAACGGGUGAGUAACACGUGGGUGAUCUGCCCUGCACUUCGGGAUAAGCCUGGGAAACUGGGUCUAAUACCGGAUAGGACUCCUGGCUUCAUGGUUGGGGGUGGAAAGCUUUUGCGGUGUGGGAUGGGCCCGCGUCCUAUCAGCUUGUUGGUGGGGUAAUGGCCUACCGAGGCGACGACGGGUAGCCGGCCUGAGAGGGUGACCGGUCACACUGGGACUGAGAUACGGCCCAGACUGCUACGGGAGGCAGCGGUGGGGAAUAUUGCACAAUGGGCGCAAGCCUGAUGCAGCGACGCCGCGUGAGGGAUGACGGCCUUCGGGUUGUAAACCUCUUUCAGCUAUGACGAAGCGCAAGUGACGGUAGUAGCAGAAGAAGGACCGGCCAACUACGUGCCAGCCGCCGCUGUAA